rnacentral:rRNA from 1 species
AUUGAACGCUGGCGGCAUGCCUUACACAUGCAAGUCGAACGGCAGCAUGAUCUAGCUUGCUAGAUUGAUGGCGAGUGGCGAACGGGUGAGUAAUACAUCGGAACGUGCCCUGUAGUGGGGGAUAACUAGUCGAAAGAUUAGCUAAUACCGCAUACGACCUGAGGGUGAAAGUGGGGACCGCAAGGCCUCAUGCUAUAGGAGCGGCCGAUGUCUGAUUAGCUAGUUGGUGAGGUAAAGGCUCACCAAGGCGACGAUCAGUAGCUGGUCUGAGAGGAAGAGAAGCAGCACUGGGACUUAGACACGGCCAAGACGCCGACGAGAGGGAGCAGUGGUGAAUUUUGGACAAUGGGGGCAACCCUGAUUCAUCAAUGCCGCGUGUGUUAAGAAGGCCUUCGGGUUUUAAAGCACUUUUGUCCGGAAAGAAAUCGCACUUACUAAUAUUAGGUGUGGAUGACGGUACCGGAAGAAUAAGGACCGGCUAACUACGUGCCAGCCGCCGCCGUAAGAC